UCUCCCCCUUCUUUUUCUCUUCUCUCUCUCUCACGCGAACCCCUCCCCACGCCGACGUCCCCUUUCCCUUUUUCCUUUUCCCUUUCCUCUCUGCCGUGUCCAACUUUCCUCCCCCACACCUUUGACUUUUCAUUCUUAUCUUCGUCCCCUUGGCCGACUCACACCCCCCAUUCGGCGACUUUAUUUUCUUCUUUGCCGUCUACCCUUCGCCUGCGAUUUCUCCUCCGUGCUGUCUCCGUUUUUGUCCCACCGAAGCCCACGCCGCCGGCUCACCUUCCUCCUUCGUCUGCGAGAAGUCCCGUGUGUGAUUGAGCUUGGCAUCCCGUGCGAAAUCAGCCGCGCAAAGCAGCCAACAGCCAAGGAAAACCAGCAUCCCCGUGAGCUAUGCGGACCAAGUUUCAGGCCCGAUUUGUGCCCCGUUGGUGUCGCCACUUUGGAGUGGAUUGUCCCUCGUCACGUCCUCGUCGAAUUGAACCAAGCAGUUCGAUUAACAAGUGAGUUUAGCUCACUAAUCCUCUAUUAGUCGGUUACUGACGUUUAGGAGUUUAUUAGAUUUAAUUAAGUGCAAUUAGGUGGAUAGAUUAGAGUAGAGUAAUUAAUUUAGUGCCUUAUCGAUACAUGUUAGACAAAUGGUUAGUGUAAUUAGCAAGGAAAUAGAUUCUAGUAUUUAUUAAACGAAUCUCGAAAAUUUUUCGGGUCCGUUUCGGCGUCCAAUUAGGCAUUACAGGCCUAAAUUGGAUUUAUUUCAUUUAUUUAAUAUUUUUCGUAAUUAUUUAAUUAUUUAUUUAUUUUCCAGAAAUUAGGUUGGGAUAGCCAACGACUGGAAUUUUAUGUUGAUAAUUAUGGUGUAGUCUAUCUAUUUAAUUGAGCUUUAAUUCAUGCUGAAAUGAUUUAAUUGUGAUUUUAGGAUUUUAUUUAUAAAAUUAAUUAUUUUCAGAAAUUGAUUGGAAAUUAAUUGAGCAUCAGUUUACAACGCCAAAAAUAUUUUGGUGGAUUAUAUAAAAUGGUGAGAUUUAUGGAAAGGAAAUUAUCGUAUUUUGGCCAAGGCCAACCAUGUACCCACACACGAUAUUUUUAUCGGGUAUGAUAAAAAUGGAGAAAUGGUCAGAUGAUUAGACUAAUAAUUGUGGCAGCUUCUUGUGAGCUAUAGUAUACUAUAUGAAUAUAAUUGCGACAGCUUCUAGUAAGCAUAAAUAGUAUAUUAUAUGAGUAUAAUUACGGCAGCUUAUGGCGAGCAUACAUACAUACAUAUAUAUAUAUAUAUAUAUUAUCUCAGUAUUUUAGACAACUUCUGGAGAGUUAUACUAUUUAUUAUUGACUUAUAAUAAGCAGUCCUAGGUAUGAUCGGACUUAUAGAUAGUAUUGAUUGAGAUGACUAGGGAAUUGUCAUAUUGACAUAGAAUCGACUGAGUCGAUUGAUCGAUAAUUCGAUCUGAUUGAAUGAUUUGAUGUGGUGAAUUGAUUUGAUGAAACUAUGAAUUGUAUUGACAUGCAGGAAGGAACUGAGGCCAAGGUAAGCCUCUGACUCGUGGUUGUGCUUAGGCAAUCCUUAGGGCAUAUUUGCUUCCUAAUCGAGUCUUAGAGGGUUGAACGUGCUGAGACAUUAUCUCACUGGUUAUUAUAUAACAAUUUUCAAGUCCCUAAUUGACAUUGGUGGAGGACCCGAGGCCCAAAGUUUAGAAGGUGAAGCCCGGAGAAUCGGCGAGCAUGUCCGACUAGUUAGUCCUAGGACAUUUCUCUUUUGUUGAAAGCCAAUUCUUUUUUGUAGGCUUAUGUGUAUAUACCUAUGUGUUUAUAAAAAGGUCUUUUGUGAAAAAUUGGUCAUACUUUCAUAUCCCAUUGUUUUAUUGUUUGAG
rnacentral:lncRNA from 1 species